GAUAAAAUGGCUGAAUUUAGGCAAUAAACUGUAAAUUUAUGUAUAAAGAGUAUUCUUUUUUUAUCA
rnacentral:tRNA from 1 species